AUAGCAAAGCAAGUUAAGAAGAAGGGCAAACAUCCAGCCCUAAAUUUUAAUCAUGGGAGCGGAAGCAGCUUGGAGGAGAAUCUUAUAGUAUACAUUCCAAGACGACCAAUACUUGAAACAGUGAGUGAAACAAUUGGCCUAAAAGUACAAGGCUACACCUGUUGGUAUGUUCAUGAAGGUAUGAUACAAGCAUCCGUACUAAUUGCUAUGCCACGUCAGAUAGAUAGUUUCAUAGAAUCUUCCAUUACAUAUGAAGGAGAGGCAGCUAAUACAGAAGAUGAAGCAAUGGAAAAGGCAGCUCAAGUGGCCUUAGAAUGCAUCUAUGCAGACUAUAAUAUUUCUAUCAAUGACCAUAAUUACUAUGCCCUUGAAGUCACAAAAGAAAGGUUGUUUACAGCAAGAGAAAAGGCUCAAACAAAGCAAUGGUAG
rnacentral:rRNA from 1 species